UGUUAAUAAUAAUAUUGAAAAAAAAAUUCCAAUUAAA
rnacentral:tRNA from 1 species